rnacentral:lncRNA from 1 species
GUAUCAUUUCCUUCACAAUUCAGUACAAGAUCAAUCUUGAGUUCCUCAUUUUGAGACUUGCAGAGGCAGAAACGCAGCUCUUCACUUUCUUUCCUGGUCUUUUCUCCCUUUUGUAAGCUCUGUGGAAAGAUUCAGGAUAGCGCUUUAUUCAGCAUGUUUUCCAGUGAAAUAGCAUUCAUCCAUGGGAAAGAGAAGGACUGAGAAAAUCCGACAUCUCUUGAUCACUGGGACAGAAUAUGGAAAUGUCACUGGUUUUCUUCUCUCACUUAAAUAUGUGUGAAUCCAAAGAGAAAACUUUUUUCAAACUAAUGCACGGGUCAGGAAAAGAAGAAACAAACAUCGAGGCCAAAAUCAGAGCUAAAGAAAAAAGGAAUAGACUAAGUCUUCUCCUACAGAGGCCUGACUUCCAUGGAGAGACUCACACCAGUAGAUCUGCCCUGUUGGCCAAAGAAACAAGGUGAGGAACUUGCCAGGGUAGUUGUUUUAUUCUCUUGAUGAAGGGAAAAAAAUAAGAAUCAAUAUGCUACCGGAAAUUGCAUAGUAACAUGAAAAUAGUUUAGCAUUUCCUUAACUUAAAACAGUAGCCUUAUGUAUUUAGCUUACAACUGCUCUCAGUUUUAAUAUGUUGAGUUAAAGUUAUAAAAACAUUUUAUUCUCUUCUUUAUCAAUGUCUCAAAAUAUAUCUUUUCAUGCUCCUUUUAAGACUCACUAAAAAUUAUGCAUUAGAGAAGAAGAAAGAAAGAAGGAAAAAACAGCACAUUGUGGUUACAAAUUCAAGGAAGUUUCUUUUUUUAAAUAAA